GGGACGGGUGAGUAACACGUGGAUAACCUACCUAUAAGACUGGGAUAACUUCGGGAAACCGGAGCUAAUACCGGAUAAUAUUUUAAACCGCAUGGUUCAAAAGUGAAAGACGGUCUUGCUGUCACUUAUAGAUGGAUCCGCGCUGCAUUAGCUAGUUGGUAAGGUAACGGCUUACCAAGGCAACGAUGCAUAGCCGACCUGAGAGGGUGAUCGGCCACACUGGAACUGAGACACGGUCCAG
rnacentral:rRNA from 1 species